UCUCUUUCUCCCUCUCUCAUCCCCUCUCCCCUCCCCCCAUCCGGCUCUCUCUGUCUCUUUCUUUCUCCCCGUUUUCGGUCCGCUCCAGAACCACUGCAGUCUGAAGAGGAAAUGCGGUCCAAUUAGCCCCCAAAAGGCUCCCAGGGUUUAAGAGCGGAGGAUCUCCCUGGGUUCCCCGGGCUCUUUCUCAGGAAUGCCAGACGGGGCAGGUGGGGGCACGAGAGGACAUAAUCUGAUUUUAACAAGCUGGCAUUGGUGGCGCGGGUGCCAUGUCACUCAGGGCCAACCGGCCAGAAGCAGCACAAACCCCCCGGCAGGCUGCUGUUCACUGUUCAGUGGGUGAAACCCUUUUGGAGUUAUGUGACCUCAGCUUAUUCAACUCUUCUUUAUAGUUUCUCUUUUUUCCUUUUUUAUCAACUUUACUCCAACUGCUGAAAGCAUCGAUGGGGGGUGGGUUCAGGUUCAGGGCAGAACAACAAUCAGGCCCCCCAGCAGCGUCUCAUGGUUGUUAUGAGAUAUCAACUGUACAAAAAAAAAACCUGCAAUGAGGAACAAACAGUGGACAGGUGUGUGUGUCAGUGUGUGUGUGUGUGUGUGUGUGUGUGUGUGUGUGUGUGUGUGUGUGUGUGUGUGUGUGUGUGUGUGUGUGUGUGUGUGUGUGGGUGUGGGGGGGGGGAGAGAGGAGGAAGGACAGGCUGUUGUUGUCUUAUUAAUGUCCUUAUUAAUUAAUGUCUCUUCUGCUUAAUCAGCAAGGGAAGUUGCCACAGCGUCAGUACAGAGUAAUGUGUGUAAUAAUGUUCAGUGCGAGUUGUGGUUGGCUGUAGUUUUGGUUUGGUCACGUUUUAGUUGUGACCAUACAGGAGGGUAGGAUGGUUUAAAAGUUUGUAGGGUUACCAUAGUCACCAUGGAAUGAGAGGAUGUCUGUAGUUUUUCGAUGAUCAUUUAAUAAAUUUUGGUUUGUACAGUGUAGGAAAAUUGUUGCUUAUGUUGAAUUUGCAGGUUGGCAUUUGUGGUUGAAAUGAUUAAUUUUGACCUUUUAAAGCCCGUUUACUGCUAUUUCCCAAUCCGAGGAUCUGAAUGCGUUGUUAAAGUACAAGCUGUGGACAUAACUUAUGAGUGUUCAGGACAAACACAGCUGGAACAAUAUGUAACCAGGGCCAACUUCAAGUGAACCUGUCAGGGUACUUGUACAUUGUGGUUCACUUGAGGAGGGAGGGGUGUUCUGUGUGUUGGAUCGCACUGACCUUCUCACGGUUACCUCGUUCCCUGGUCUUAGAUCCAUGCAAAUUCUGAAGUCAAUACAAGAGGCCAACAGGCGUGUAAUCCUCUUACCACUUCCCCGCGUUAUACACCUUCAUUACGGUCUAACAUACUCUGGUGAUAGUUGUCUUAUAUACAGUACAUUACAUGUUAAACCCUUGAUCCCAAAAAGGGCUGGCAAAUUGGACUGGAUUAACAGCCUGAGGUUAAAUCAUGGAGUUCCAAAGUCAUGGAAGAUUAUAAAUGGAUUGGAGACGAUAGUCACACUGUAACUGUGAAAUUGUUUCAGGGAGUGAAAAUCUUGGUUGUAAAUCCCAGCACCUAAUGUAUACAAACCUCCAAGCUACAUGCAAGAUAUGCAAUUAUAUAUGGGAAAUGAUUAACCACUAACAUGACAUGACAAAGGUUGCUCCACUUGAAAAGAAAAGCUCAGGGAACUACUGAAAACGAAACAGUAAGGUUUAUCCAGAGGGAUCUCCGAAAAUAACUAAGAAGACGUUUACUGGGCUCUUUAGGGUCAGGAUAGGAGCAGAUUAACGCCCUCUUGAGAGAAGAGGACAGCUGUGAAGCAGUGACAGGUCAGAACCCCUGAGGAAGCCAGCGUCCGCAUAGUGUUUUCCCAAACAUUCAACCACUCAUCUGUUGGCAAACGAGAGGCUGCGGCUAACUAUAGCACUCCACAUUCUUUCCCAGAACGGCUGGACGUUUAGAGCAAAUCCCUGUGCAGUUGAAGAGGCUCUCUAAGUCUGACCUGCUCUCCCAGCACAACUGCUGCUUAGGAAGCGGUAUGGGAGAGGAGUGGAGAGAAGUUAGGGGAGCGUGUGAUGGGUGAAUCAUGGUCAUUGAGAGCAGCUUGCAUUCGCAAGUGCAUCCGCAUUAAAAAGAUCUUCUAGGUCUUUAUAUGAAGGCAUCAAUAGUCAUUCAGAGCACUUGAUUCACCCACAAUAUGAGCUAGCCUUGACAACAACACAGCAGCAGCCCAGACUGAAAGGACCAAAGAAAUGUGCUUGAUUGUCGAGGUUGGGGGAGACAAAACAGUAAUACAUGUACAUGUCCUACAUGUAAGUGCAUAGAAAGAAGGUCAAUGUAAGGCCAUCAUUCGCCUGGUGGCUAAUCAUUGACAGUCAUCUAUUAAGCAUUGUCUGCAUAAUAUGUUGUUUGUCUCUCGUUUGAACUAUUAGAUUCUACUAGACCAUCACUUCCUGUUCCUCUGAGACUCCUAAGGGUCAGCAGGCUCACCCACGACGUGACAACCUCUUGUCCCGACCCUUCUCUUCUCCUCGCGGUUCCCACCAUGUCCUCUCUAGACGUCCGACCCCCACUGAUGUCCGUACCAUAUUGUGCCCUGCCUGCGUUCUCAGGCCACUCGAACCACAACCAGCACUGACAUGGAACGCAAGAUGUGAUGUCCAUCUAGCGGGAGGGAGAGUGUGUGUGUGUGUGUGUUGGGGUGUGUGUGUGUGUG
ensembl:lncRNA